AUAUUAAUCAAGACAUGCAUAUGUCAGAGCAUCCUUAUUCAGUACUAAUGUGUCAAAAAGAUAUAACAAUAAAAAUAGUUAUGUUAUGGAAUAAGCAUAUGUCAAUCAGUCAGAUGAGUGUAGCAAAAUACUUGUUUACUACUUUAAAAGGAUCUGAGUUCAAUUCUGGAUCUCCCAUCUCCAGGGGAAGAUCUGUGCUUGGUUCAUUGAACUGCAUUCUUCAACCUUGGUUAAGAUUGACCCAUUGUGGAUUCUGGCCUGUCUGUAAUUGGCUCUAAAAGUGGUUGCUGCAGAUACAGUAUAUCCCAUGUGAAUAGACAGCUUAAAUAAAACAAAUCUAAUAAACACAUAAAAUGUGCAUAUGUGAUAAAUGAUGAAAUAGGAAAAAAUACAUUGUUCAGCAAUAUAUUUUCACACAUUUUCUCAUUUCUCUGUUUAUAACGCC
rnacentral:lncRNA from 1 species